GACGAACGCUGGCGGCGUGCUUAACACAUGCAAGUCGAACGGUAAGGCCCUCCGGGGUACACGAGUGGCGAACGGGUGAGUAACACGUGGGUGAUCUGCCCUGCACUUCGGGAUAAGACUGGGAAACUGGGUCUAAUACCGGAUAGGACCACUGCCUGCAUGGGGGGUGGUGGAAAGCUUUUGCGGUGUGGGAUGGGCCCGCGGCCUAUCAGCUUGUUGGUGGGGUGAUGGCCUACCAAGGCGACGACGGGUAGCCGGCCUGAGAGGGUGACCGGCCACACUGGGACUGAGAUACGGCCCAGACUCCUACGGGAGGCAGCAGUGGGGAAUAUUGCACAAUGGGCGCAAGCCUGAUGCAGCGACGCCGCGUGAGGGAUGACGGCCUUCGGGUUGUAAACCUCUUUCAGCACCGACGAAGCGCAAGUGACGGUAGGUGCAGAAGAAGGACCGGCCAACUACGUGCCAGCCGCCGCAGUAA
rnacentral:rRNA from 1 species